rnacentral:rRNA from 1 species
GAAGGUGGGAUGACGUCAAGUCAGCAUGGCCUUUAUGUCCUGGGCUACACACACGCUACAAUGGCCAACACAAUAGGUUGCUAAGCCGCGAGGUGGAACCAAUCCUCAAAGUUGGUCUCAGUUCAGAUUGCAGGCUGCAACCCGCCUGCAUGAAGAUGGAGUUGCUAGUAACCGCAGGUCAGCUAUACUGCGGUGAAUACGUUCCCGGGCUU